UGAGGGAUAUUGCGCAAUGGGCGAAAGCCUGACGCAGCGACGCCGCGUGAGGGAUGAAGGCCUUCGGGUUGUAAACCUCUGUCAGUGGGGAAGAGAAGGGACGGUACCUGCUGAGGAAGCCUCGGCUAACUACGUGCCAGCAGCCGCGGUAAGACGUAGGGGGCGAGCGUUGUCCGGAAUUACUGGGUGUAAAGAGCUCGUAGGCGGGAUUGUAAGUCUGAGGCUAAAUACCAUGGCUCAACUGUGGUGUGAUCUCAGAUACUGCAGUUCUUGAGGACAGGAGAGGAAAGUGGAAUUCCUGGUGUAGCGGUGAAAUGCGUAGAUAUCAGGAGGAACACCAGUGGCGAAGGCGGCUUUCUGGCCUGUUCCUGACGCUGAGGAGCGAAAGCUGGGGGAGCGAACGGG
rnacentral:rRNA from 1 species